GGUGAACGCUGGCGGUAGGCCUAACACAUGCAAGUCGAACAGCAGCACAGUAAGAGCUUGCUCUUACGGGUGGCGAGUGGCGGACGGGUGAGGAAUACAUCGGAAUCUACUUUUUCGUGGGGGAUAACGUAGGGAAACUUACGCUAAUACCGCAUACGACCUACGGGUGAAAGCAGGGGAUCUUCGGACCUUGCGCGAUUGAGUGAGCCGAUGUCGGAUUAGCUAGUUGGCGGGGUAAAGGCCCACCAAGGCGACGAUCCGUAGCUGGUCUGAGAGGAUGAUCAGCCACACUGGAACUGAGACACGGUCCAGACUCCUACGGGAGGCAGCAGUGGGGAAUAUUGGACAAUGGGCGCAAGCCUGAUCCAGCCAUACCGCGUGGGUGAAGAAGGCCUUCGGGUUGUAAAGCCCUUUUGUUGGGAAAGAAAAGCAGCAGGUUAAUACCCCGCUGUUCUGACGGUACCCAAAGAAUAAGCACCGGCUAACUUCGUG
rnacentral:rRNA from 1 species